AACUACCUCACCACAACGCAAAGUAAAUAGUGCAAAAUCAGGCGUUUUAUGAUUUUGACAUUUUAGUGUAUAAGUGUAUUCCUGAGUCUCUCGGGGGAGCUACUGGGAAUUAGAUAAUGUUUUUAUGACUCUAAAAAAUGACAUCAAAUUUCAUAAUCUCUAAGACUCCAUAUAUAUAGUCCAUGUUGUGCAUUUUAUUACAGCCUCAGUGGCUUAUAUGGCAAGUGUCAGCUGUAAAGAGAAAAUGCACAAAGGCUGGUUUGUGGAAUAGGGGGGUACAACAUGGUAAAACCUUACAGUGCACACAUCAAAGCCCUUGGGACAAACUGUAAUUGCACACGUGGGCCAUGCUGGGACACCAGAAUUCACCCUAAGCUUUUUCUGUUUCAGGAUCAAUUACAAAGCCCUCGCUGAAGGAGGCUUUCUGGCCAGUGCUUGUUACUAGAGGAUAAGUUUGGGUUUUUGUCAAUUCCUGUGUGAAUGACCCAUUAAAUCCAGAGUAACUGGGAGGCCUUGAGUGUCUAUGAGUGACAAACCAGGAGUGAGUACAGAGGGGAAGAAGAACGGGUUGCUGCUCCAAGUGGGCUUCUGAGUAGUCCCACGUGGUCUCUGAGAACAAUGGGUGGAUGCUUACCAGAAUAUGUGAUUUCAUAAAUUAUUGUGCAUAAAACCAGGCCUUUUGUGCUCCUUUGCAAGCUUGCUUGGUGUUAGAAAAGUCGUGGGUCAUGUGCUUGAAUGCUGGGACAAGUCUCUUGGCAUAGUUACCAGCACCUUUCUAGAAAAGGGCAAGUGGUGAUGAAACAGCCACAGGUUCAGAAAACCUCAAAUUGUCACUGAAAUUAAGAGCAAGCCAUGGUCUCUCUUGGGUGACAGUAGGUAUCCAGCAGUCAGGCAUCUCACUGCAUGAUCUGGACGAUAGGGUUAGUCUGUCCAUUUCUGAUGUGGAGCUGGUGUUAGCAGCCUCUGGAGACUUGGCAGUGUGUCAGAGCUGCCAGCCCACUCACACAUGUACAUGAGUACAGGAUGGGGCCCUGAAACUGUGGUGGAUCUGGCUGGGUCCUGCUUAAUCUGAAUUUACAGCUGUUGGCAGACUCAGGUGACACAUCCUCUCCUUAGUGUUUUACCUGUUGGCAUUAAAAAAUUACAAGGAGUGUGAUCUACCAUACGUUUUGCUGAAAGUGGUGAGAUGAUUCACUCUUUCCAUAUUAGGAUAUAAUUUUCUUCAUUUCAGAAACAGACUCAUAGUCUUCAAGCUAUUUAACCAUAAAUCUGGUUUAAUUUUUCUGUGAGCUUUUAUGCUUGUUAUCAGUCUCAAGGUCUUGCAGAAUGGUGAUUUUCCUGAACUAAAGCUCCAUGGAAAGUGAAAUUUUGUUAAUGAAGCAAAAGUGAAAUAAUGAUUUUUACCAUUCCAGGUGCAUGGCUACUCUGACUUCCUUUUCCUUUCAUGUUCCAAGUGCAACAAAUGUACCAACAGCUGGUACUGAGAGAGGCUGAACUGCAUUGCGGCUUCUGUGUUUCAGGAAUGUGACUCCUGUCCUUGACCUCGUCUGCAGAUAAAUACAACAUGCCCCUUACUGCUGAGUGGUUUGGGAAGAAUUUCAGCCAGACAAGAGAGCGGAGAUAGAGGAAAGACAGGCUAUGACAGUAACUGGGCUAUCUAAUUCUGCAAUGUGGAAAUCGCCUUUUCUCAGCUGCCAGUCUCAAAGUCAAGCUUUCAUUGUGCAAAUAAAAUGGGGUAUUCCACCCUCCUCCCCACCCUCAAUUGUCACCAAUAUCUAGCAGACGGAAUAUUCAAAAUGUUUUUCCCUCCAAUACAGAAUGGCUGGUGGGAGUCAUCAGGUCAUGUGAAAAGACAGCUGAGUGCAAUUUUUUCAGCAAGAAACAAAAGAAGAAGGGAGGAUUUAAAAAAUGAUUUUG